UACGAAGGGGGCUAGCGUUGCUCGGAAUCACUGGGCGUAAAGCGCACGUAGGCGGAUUGUUAAGUCAGGGGUGAAAUCCUGGAGCUCAACUCCAGAACUGCCUUUGAUACUGGCGAUCUUGAGUCCGGGAGAGGUGAGUGGAACUCCGAGUGUAGAGGUGAAAUUCGUAGAUAUUCGCAAGAACACCAGUGGCGAAGGCGGCUCACUGGCCCGAUACUGACGCUGAGGUGCGAAAGCGUGGGGAGCAAACAGG
rnacentral:rRNA from 1 species